rnacentral:tRNA from 1 species
GGAGAGUUACAUUAAUGGUAAAUGGACUGCUUGCUAAGCAGUUGUCCUGAUGGGUUUAUAGGUUCGAGUCCUAUACUCUCCGCCA